UGAAGCUCUGCUAUUGGGCUGGGGAGAGGCUAUUAGACUACAGAAAUGAACAGGCAUGGAGCUCAGCCUUUGUCAAGGAAUGGUGGCAAACUUCAGCUUGAUUCUUCUGUUCAUUUUUUUGGUCUUGUUCAUGGCUGCAUUGGAAGCUCCUCUGAUCCAACAAAAGGGUUAUGAAUAAGGCACUGUGAACUAUUUUGCCCUGGGGCUAAGUCUUCACCACAUCAGUCAAAGAUUGAAAAGGUCCCAUGGACUUCUGGACAUCAUUGUGGGCUGCUGCAAGGAUCUGGGAUCAAGGAGUGGGUCUGAGAUUCUCUUUUGCUGGUGUAGCCUGGUCCAGGGAUCCUGAAGUUGGCCUAUGUCCUGGUUCAGAAUCUGGUGCAGUAGGUGGAGGAGUGGUUGGCCAGAACUUCUCUGCAUGCAGUUUUGCUUCCAUUUCUCCCUUAUCCAUGAAAAUAAAUUCUCCCUGCCUACCUUUCAAGUUAUAUUCAG